ensembl:snRNA U6 U6 spliceosomal RNA
AUGCUUACUUUAGCACCACAUGGACUAAAAUUGGAAGGAUACAGAGCAGGUCGGCAUGGCCCCUACACAGGGUGGACACACCAACCCGAGAUGUUCCAUGUUUUG